rnacentral:rRNA from 1 species
UACGGAGGGGGACUAGCGUUGUUCGGAAUUACUGGGCGUAAAGCGCACGUAGGCGGAUUUGUUAGUCAGGGGUGAAAUCCCGAGGCUCAACCUCGGAACUGCCUUUGAUACUGCAAAUCUCGAGUCCGGAAGAGGUGAGUGGAAUUCCUAGUGUAGAGGUGAAAUUCGUAGAUAUUAGGAAGAACACCAGUGGCGAAGGCGGCUCACUGGCCCGGUACUGACGCUGAGGUGCGAAAGCGUGGGGAGCAAACAGGG